rnacentral:rRNA from 1 species
CAGUAGCCACGGUAAUACGAAGGGUGCAAGCGUUAAUCGGAAUUACUGGGCGUAAAGCGUGCGUAGGCGGUUUGUUAAGUCUGCUGUGGAAUCCCCGGGCUCAACCUGGGAAUGGCAGUGGAUACUGGCAAGCUAGAGUGUGUCAGAGGAUGGUGGAAUUCCCGGUGUAGCGGUGAAAUGCGUAGAGAUCGGGAGGAACAUCAGUGGCGAAGGCGGCCAUCUGGGACAACACUGACGCUGAGGCACGAAAGCGUGGGGAGCAAACAGGAUUAGAUACCCCUGUAGUCCCUGUCUCUUAUAC